UGGGGAAUAUUGCACAAUGGGCGCAAGCCUGAUGCAGCCAUGCCGCGUGUAUGAAGAAGGCCUUCGGGUUGUAAAGUACUUUCAGCGGGGAGGAAGGGAGUAAAGUUAAUACCUUUGCUCAUUGACGUUACCCGCAGAAGAAGCACCGGCUAACUCCGUGCCAGCAGCCGCGGUAAUACGGAGGGUGCAAGCGUUAAUCGGAAUUACUGGGCGUAAAGCGCACGCAGGCGGUUUGUUAAGUCAGAUGUGAAAUCCCCGGGCUCAACCUGGGAACUGCAUCUGAUACUGGCAAGCUUGAGUCUCGUAGAGGGGGGUAGAAUUCCAGGUGUAGCGGUGAAAUGCGUAGAGAUCUGGAGGAAUACCGGUGGCGAAGGCGGCCCCCUGGACGAAGACUGACGCUCAGGUGCGAAAGCGUGGGGAGCAAACAGU
rnacentral:rRNA from 1 species